GCCAUCUAAAUGUCUGGUACAUUAUGAACACACAUAUAUGAAUAUCUUCUGAAAAUUAGAAAGUGAAUGAGUGCAGUCAGUUGACACAAAUCAAGUCACCUCAUUUAAAUCCUUUUAAUGUCCUUCCGUCAGAAGGACCUUGCUCCUCCUCGUCCUGUAUUGACCAAAUACUCUGCUGACAACAAUUGUUCUGCAGUUACUAACAGCAGCAUUUGAUAUUGUUGGAUUUGGGCUCAUGGCCAGACACAUCCCAUUCAGAGGAGAGUCGUACUACUACAGGGACACAGAGUGGUGUUGUGACCCACUUCACUCUGUUUCGGCUUGCUGUGGAGAUGGAGGGAAAGAGGCACAAAAAGAGUUCUUAGUGAAUGGAAUCUUGGUGACACUGAUCGGUUUCCUGAUGCUGGCAUGUGCCAUUGGUUUGGUUGUUUCUCUUUUUGGGGUCUACACCCUUUCUGUUAGUGCCAUAAAGGAGAUGACGCCCAUCCCUCACUCUACAGCAAACCAACAUUAUGGUGUUGGUGUUCAGACCCAGAAAACGAUCCAUGCUGGAAACUGAUAAAAUAAGAGGCAGAAGGGCACAGUUUUAGCACAGUUUUUCGGUUUUUCGCCAACUGCAAAAGAGGACUGUUUCACCUACAAACCACUCACAGGUAACCAACCACAACCACAACAACAGGAAAAAAAAAAAACUUUUGUGAAGUUGUAAAUAAUUUUUUGAAAGUAAAAUGGAUAAAAUCUCGUUUUUUGCUUGGCUGUUGCUCUCACAGGCUGUAGGACUGCUGUAAUUUCGAAAGCUCAACUUAAUAGUUAUUCGUACCUCAUUCAUUUUCGCUCUUACAAACUGAAGCUUCUUAGCAUGAAAUUCUAAUCAAAUGUCUACCCAGAAAUCUAGUGUUAUUGAUGUAUGUUAGAUGGGUAAGUGUGUUCAUCGUUGUUAGGGUAUGUGAAAUUAAGUAUGUAGCAGAAACAGAAAAGGAAUUAUGGUGAAUGUGGACUGUUAGAAGGUUCUGUAAUUGCGUCUUGUUUCAUAACAUUUUGUACCACCUUUUGCAUGAAUCUUUAUAUCGGUCAACAUGUUUGUUUUAGCCACAUGAGGACAUUUAUCAAGUUGAUAUUUGUUCGUUUGAAUUGCAAUUUGAAAAUGAACACUUGAAACCAUAAAAAUGUAACAACACUGUAAGCAAGCCAAAUUAUUUUAUAUAUAUAUAUGCUUACAACAACAACAAAAAAUCCUUUAAAUAAGAGCCUUGAUAAAUGUGGCCCAUGUUCAGUGAAACUCCUCUGAAGCAGAGUAAUGUGAAUUUAAACACCAGUGAAUAACUAAACAGCAUCGCUUGGCUUUUUUGUCAUCUCGUUUAAUCCGUGCUGAUUCUUCAGGAAAGCUAUGAUGACUGCCAACUCUGUAAGUGCCACCACUUGUGACCAAAAUCAUGGACACCCUUAUGACUAAAGGUCAGAGGUUGAACCCUCAGUCAAGGGCUCGACUUUGGUGAUGUAAAAUCCUCUUGUGGAAGCAUGUGUCGUCCGUUCUGUGUCUGUAGAUCUUUGUCUUUAUGACAGCAUGUGAGAUUUACAUUGUGCCUGUUCUCAGUGAACUCUUGACGUGUAGUAAAAUGAAAACAAGUAGUAUGUAGUAAUAUGGCUGUGUUUGUGUUUGUAUUUGACUGAAUGAUAUUUCAAAUAAACUUGAUUUAAUACACAAUCUGAUGUUGUCUUGUUAGAGUUUUUUUCACAGUGCA
rnacentral:lncRNA from 1 species